rnacentral:lncRNA from 1 species
CAGAGAUGAGAGGUGUUAAUAGUAUAAACUCAGAAAUGAAGAAUAUAAAGUCAAUCAGAGGGAAAAUAUGGGGAAGUUGCUACAUAAAGCAGGAACAGGAAAUACAAAGGGCUUAAGAGAGAUGAAUCACUUUUACACAAAACAGCAAGGAAGCUGUUGCACUUCAAUCGUAAUAAACAGUGGAGAGGGGAAGAGAAGUAUAAGAGAUGGCUGAGUUAGCAAGGGGCCAAAUUAUGUCAGCCAUGAUAUUUAGUUGUAUAGGUAUUUUUAAAUUUGGAAUGGAGAGGCUAUUCAAAGGUUUUAAGCCAAAGAAGUGACAUAAUCUGAAGUAUAUUUUCAAAGUUUAUUUUAGCUGCUAAAGUGAAAAAAUGGAGACCAACAGAAAACUAUAGCAAGUAGACCAGAUGAAAAUGAUGGUGUCUUGGAACAGGAUUGAGUGAACAAGGAUGGAAAAAAAAAGCAAACAGAUUGAAGAUAUAUUUAGGAGCUACAAUAUGAGAAAAGCAGUCGUGUCCUUGAUGGGUGUGGCCUCUGAGCAGAAGCUAAGCCAUCAUAACCCCUGUGACCUGCAUGUAUACAUCCAGACGGCCUGGAGCAAUGGAAGAACAACAAAAGAUGACAUUCCAUCAUUUGAUUUGUUCCUGCCCCACCCCAACUAAUCAAUCGACCUUGUGACAUUCCUCCCCUGGACAAUGAGUCCCAUGAUCUCCCCACCCUGCACCUUGUGACCCCUGCCCCUGCCCGCAAGAGAUAACCAACUUUAACUGUAAUUUUCCAUUACCUACCCAAAUCCUAUAAAACUGCCCCACUCCUAUCUCCCUUUGCUGAAUCCUUUCUCCGACUCAGCCCACUUGCACCCAAGUGAAUAAACAGCCUUGUUGCUCACACGAAGCCUGUUGGUGGACUCUCUUCACAUGGAUGUGCGUGACACCCUCUACCCUCCAAUAGGCCCCAAUGUGUGUUAUUCCCCUCUAUGUGUCCAUGUGUUCUUAUUAUUUAGCUCCCACUUACAAGUGAGAGCAUGCAGUAUUUGGUUUUCUGUUUCUGCAUCAGUUUGCUAAGGAUAAUGGCCUCCAGCUCCAUCCAUGUUCCCGAAAUGAUCUUGUUCUUUUUAAUGCCUGUAUAGUAUUCCACAGUGUAUAUGUACAAAAUUUUAUUUAUCCAGUCUACCACUGAUGGACAUUUAGGUUGAUUCCAUGUCUUUGCUAUUGUGAAUAGUGCUGCAAUGAACAUACAUGUACAUGUGUCUGGGAAGGAGGGAAGGAAGGACGGAAGGAGGGAAGGAAGGAAGGAAGGAAGGAAGGAAGGAAGGAAGGAAGGAAGGAAGGACAAGUGUUGGCAGUAAAUAUGUAGAGAAAUGAGAAUACUUAUACAUUGUAGGAAUAUAAAAUAAUUCAGCUGCUAUGAAAAAGAGUUUGGGAGCACCUCAAAACAUAAACAUAGAAUUAUCAUAUGAUCUUCUAAUUCUAUUUCUGGAGGUACACCCUCCAGUGUUGAAAAACUAGUACUCAAACAAGUCAGUGUACAUAAACAUUAAUAGCAGGACUAUUCACAAUAGCCAAGGUGGAAAUAACCAAAUGUUCACAAACAGAUAAAUAGAUAUCAAAUUAUGGUGUGUAUUUAUAUAUAUACACACACACACACACACACACACACACAUACACAAUGGAAUAUUACUGAGCCAUAUAAAAAUGGAGUAAAGCUAUAGUGUGAAUAUUGGUGUCUGAGGCCAUUUUAUGUUGCUUAUAAUACCUGAAUCUGGUUAAUUUAUAAAGAGAAGGAAUGUAUUUCCUACAAUUAUGGAGACUGAGAAGUUCAAGGUUAAGGAGGUGCACUUGGCGAGAGCCUUCUUGCUGAUGAGGACUCUCUGAAGAGUCCUGAAGCCUCACAGGGUAAGAUAGGGCAAGGAGGAUGCGCAUGCUACUCAGAUAUCUCUUGCUCUUACCAUAAAGCCACCAGUCCCUCCACCAAUGAUAGCCCAUUAAUUCUUUAACUCAUUAAUCCAUGAAUGGUAUCUGCCCUCAUGAUCCAAUCACCCAUUAAAGGUCCCAUCUUUCAACACUGCCACAUUGGGGAUUAAAUUUCAACAUGAAUUUUGGAGGGGACAGAUAUUCAAACCAUAGCAGUUGGUGCCCCCACCACUAUCUAAUUUACGUGUUAGAACCUAACACCCAAUGUGAUAAACCCAAUGUGAUAGCAUUGAGUUGGGGCCUCUGAGAAUAAGUAAGUCAUAAGGACUCUGCUUAGUGCCCUUAUAAAGGAAGCUUAAGUGAGCUGCCUUGCAAGUUCCAUCAUGCAAGAAUGCAGCAAGAAGCCUUCCUCUUUGAAGCACAGGCACAAGCCUCACCAGAUAUUGAAUUUGUUGGUGGCUUCAUCUUGGACUCCCCAAACUCAACAACUAUAAGCAAUAAAUUUCUGUUGUUUACAAAUUCUCUAGUCUAAGAUAUUUUGUUAGAGCAGCUAGAACAAACCAAGACAAGUACUGACACAAUAAUAAGGAUGAAUCUGAAAAAAAAAAAAAUUAUACCUAGUCAAAGAAGCCAGACACAAAAUGUCACAGAUUGUAUGAUUUCAUGUAUGAAAUAUCCAUAAUAGGUAAAUCCAGAGAGACAGACAGAAAGCAGAUUGGUAAUUGACAGAGGCUGGAGGAUGAGAGAAUGAGGAGUAACUGCUUGAUAGGUACAAAAUUUUCUUAGGGGAUAAUAUAUUUUGGAGCUUAAUAGAGGUGGGCAUAUAUAAGAUUGUAAGUGUACUGAAUGCCACUGAUUUUUUCACUUUAAAAUGGAUCUUAAAAUGGUUAAUCUUAUGUUACAUGAAUUUCACCUAAACUAAAACAAAAAAGUAAAAGCUACAAACUUCUUGCUGUCCUCAAAAACAAUGAUACCCAAUUUAUAUAUGAAAAUCUCCCAAUGACCAGAGGUGGUUUAUGUUACUUUGAAAUUGACAUAAACUGAAAGAUGUAAAUAUUAUUUGUAAAUUUCAGUGGCCCUGAAAAC